AUUCAGGUAGUUUAAGUUAGAAUAAUAAUUUGUGGUGUUAUAGGUGUUUUGAAACUCUGGGUU
rnacentral:tRNA from 2 species